UGUUUCUAUAAAUAAGUUCCCCGCCGCUGCUAGUCCUAAAUGGGGCAGUCCACCACAAAUUAUUAUAUUUCCCCAUCCCAAAAAGUAGCCCUACCACAACUCGUUCUGCAUUAAACACCAGCCACAAUCACUCACCCACCCACCAUCCUCAAAGAAAAAUCUUGCCCUUCAUUUUCUUGUUCGUGAUAAAAGAAUAAAACAUCAACUACUAUAUUUGCUGCUUUUCUUUCCACAACUCUUUUCUGUACAUAGAAUCAAAAGCGAUGCAUGAUUUAACUUCUAUGCGCAUAAUUUUAUUUUAUUAUAGGUUCAGACCUAUUAUUUGUUACAAUUUGAAUAGAAUUUUACAUAUCAAUUUAUGAAGUAUCAAGGUCAAAUGAACCGGUACUGCGGCGCUACUUCUACUUUGUAUGGAAGAAGGGCAAGAGUCGGUGUGAGAUUGUUGACAGAAGAUAGAGAGCACAGAUGAUGAUCAUGCUGCUAAAUCUGGGAUUGGAGAGGGCACUGAAUCAAUUAAACUGCAAAAAAAAAAAGCAUCUCAAUUCAUUUGUGCUCUCUAUGCUUCCGUCAUCACCUUCACCGCUCUUUCGCUCUCUUUCUUCCAUUUCUUCUAAAUUAUCUCCGUAUCUCAUAAUUUAGGUUUUCUUAUUGGGGAUAUUUCUUGCAAAAACAAACUUCUAUAAAAGGAAAGAAAUUGGAAGGUGGGGUCAUGAUUCACAUAACCGAGUGCUACUUUUGCAGUCCUCUUUUGUUGUGCAGCUUUUGUCAGAUUACAGAAGAUCUGAGAUUAAUAGUUUAUGUAUUCACAAGAUUAGCGCUAAGCAUAGAAUAAUGUCCAGAUUGUUGGUUUUCGCUUGAUUUGUAAGAUAUAUACUCCUGAAUUUCUAUGCUUUAACAGCUUCUCCUUAAACAGAUCACUGGAUCUCUCUAGUCCUUAAUUUACCAUGUACCUGAAGAGAAACGCCUUUUCAAGGGGAUGCUAUGAAGCUACAAUUACAUGUAAUUCCCUCUCUCUUCUCUCCCGCUAUCUCUUUCUGUGUAUUUGUAUAUUAUCGAUGUAAUUACUGUUUAGUAAUUCUACGGGUACAUAUUAGUCAAUAAUAUAUAGAAAGAAUGGGUUCGAGCUAGUUUGACAACUGCAUUCGGUUUAAAGAAAGAGGAUUAAUUAAGUUUGAAAUCAUCUUAACGUUAAUUAGUUGAGCUACUCAUUAUACUUCUACUUCUUCAUUUCUUUCGCGUCUCUAAAUUGUAGUCUAAAAUUAUUUUACCCUAUUUUUAUUAUUAUUAUUAUUAGCUACUCAUUACUAUUAUUCGUUUAUUAUUUUGUGUAUUAUAACUAUUAUUACAUAUUAUUUUACUUCCUAUUGUAUGGCCGGAGAUGAGUUAUAUGAAGUAACAUGGUUAGUGAAAAUUAUAUAGCCGACCCUAAUUUGUUUGAGUCUGAGGCUUUGGUUGUUGUUGUUGUUGUCUAGAUGUUUGAAUUGAAGUCAUUCUUGGUAGAAAUUGCCAUAUAGGACGUGGAAAAGGUCAAUGUUGCAAGGUUAAAAGAUCAAGUUGAUUUUCAAAGGAUAUUUUAAUUAUGCAUUGACAUUAGAGUUAGGGCUUCAAACAUAAAAGUUUAAUCAAACAAAAAUUAGUCUUUAGAUGUUUUCCACAAAGUAAUGAAUACAAGAAUUUGCUAAUUGAGGCACACUCCUUGAAAAGUACAACAACAACAAAUCCGGUGGAAUUUUACAAGUGGGAUCCGGUGAGGGUAAUGCGUACGCUGACCGUGCCUAUGCCUUAUAAAUAUAGAGAGGUUAUUUCCGAUAAACCCUCGACUCAAGAACAAUGAAAAGAAAGCAAUAAGCAAACUCUCCUUGAAAAAGUGAGAAAAAAUAUAACUAAGGAUAAACGGCAAAGAGGCAAUAUAUACUGAUCAAACAAUAAUUGGGGUAUAAUCAGCAGAUACAAGCAAAAAGAACGCUGCACAUAGAACUCUCCAAAAGUGUUGCCGCAUCUGUGCCGGGUUCUCCAAAAAUACAUUAAAUUUGGAGGAUUCGACAUACAUCCAACAACAUCUUUGAAGAGUCCAAGCAACAUAGCAGAAAACUACUUGCUUUGAGAAUGCUGCUAACUUCCUUUUCCUCACCAUUCAGAUAAAUAAGAUUAGGUACAUUACGGUGAAGAAAGGAGUGUCAAAGAGUAUCACCAAGAGGGUUGUGAGAUUUUGGACAAGAUCCACUCUUAAUCAUAAGUCACAGGUUUAAUUAGUGAGUAUGAAAUUGUUUUUGGUAAGGUCGCUUGCUUUUUUAAUAUGCCUUAUGCAGCACGAAUUCGUAUUAGCCAGAAAGCGGAUACCGAACAUCGGGUCCGAGAUAAAAAAAUAACUGCUAAGAGUAAAACCACUUUAAUAUGUUCAAGUUCUCUUCAGCAACAUUGAUGGUAUAUUUAUAGGGGCGGAGCCACAAGCUUGUGUAUAGGUUCGGUAAAACUCAACAGUUUUGGCCUAGACCCUCUAUUUGUGUUUAAAAAAAAAAUUAUAUGCAUAAAUUAUUUAUUUAAAAUCCAGUAAACUACAUUUCCUAAAAUACAGAACCCAUAAACUCAAAAUCCUAAUUACGGCUUAUUAGAACUACCUCGAGAAUUCUCUUGCAAGUGGCAAUGUUGUAGAAAAUAAGAUCACUUCCUCGUCUUUUUUUCUUCUUUUUCCUCUUUGUUUUAGUUUGAAAAUGUUCAAGGCCUAACCUUAUUUGUCUUGGGAUGUCUAAAUUGAUUCUCUAACACUUUUUAGUAUUUUUUUUUUAGCUUUCCACCCGAUGUUUGGACCCGCUUUAUGACUACCACUUUGGAGUCUGACUAGUCUAGAUUUGUAUCGGAAAUUAACUAUAAUUUCGGGCAAUAGAGUACUCUUUAUCAAAAGUUAAUUCAUAUCUCAAAACUUGUAAUUAAUUGUAAACCUCUAGUUAAGGAUUUAAGAGUACUUACACAAGCCUUUCUUAGAGUUUCAUCUAGUGCCAGCUUAUGUUCUAAUUAUUAUAUAUUCAAAUAAACAAAGAAUAUAAUCAACUUUAUUCCCAUUUUUCCAUCCACUCUUGUAUAUCAAUAGUAUGGAUGGAUUACAGCUUGUAUAUCAAAUCAGCAAGUACAUAUAUAUGAUGCAAAUAUAAUGUUCUUUGUGCCA